rnacentral:misc_RNA from 1 species
AAGUCGUAACAAGGUUUCCGUAGGUGAACCUGCGGAAGGAUCAUUAACAAAAAAAAAAUACAACAAAAACCUUUUUUAUUUUAUUAUUUAUAUUUUAAAUCAAACACCAUGUGAAUCUUUGUAAUUUUUUAUUACAAAAAAUUAAAAUAAAACCAAAAAAAUUUAAAAAAAAAUGAAAUUGAAAGAGAAAAAGAAACCCUUUAUCUCUUUCUUUACCAAAAAUUAAAUUUUUAAUCAAAGAAAAAUAACUCUUAACAAUGGAUAUCUCGGCUCUCGC